GACGAACGCUGGCGGCGUGCCUAAUACAUGCAAGUAGAACGCUGAAGGAGGAGCUUGCUUCUCUGGAUGAGUUGCGAACGGGUGAGUAACGCGUAGGUAACCUGCCUGGUAGCGGGGGAUAACUAUUGGAAACGAUAGCUAAUACCGCAUAACAGUAGAUAUCGCAUGAUAUCUACUUGAAAGGUGCAAUUGCAUCACUACCAGAUGGACCUGCGUUGUAUUAGCUAGUUGGUGAGGUAACGGCUCACCAAGGCAACGAUACAUAGCCGACCUGAGAGGGUGAUCGGCCACACUGGGACUGAGACACGGCCCAGACUCCUACGGGAGGCAGCAGUAGGGAAUCUUCGGCAAUGGACGGAAGUCUGACCGAGCAACGCCGCGUGAGUGAAGAAGGUUUUCGGAUCGUAAAGCUCUGUUGUAAGAGAAGAACGAGUGUGAGAGUGGAAAGUUCACACUGUGACGGUAUCUUACCAGAAAGGGACGGCUAACUACGUG
rnacentral:rRNA from 1 species